rnacentral:rRNA from 1 species
UAAGGAAUAUUGGUCAAUGGGCGGAAGCCUGAACCAGCCAUGCCGCGUGCAGGAUGACUGCCCUAUGGGUUGUAAACUGCUUUUGUCCAGGAAUAAACCUAGAUACGUGUAUCUAGCUGAAUGUACUGGAAGAAUAAGGAUCGGCUAACUCCGUGCCAGCAGCCGCGGUAAUACGGAGGAUCCGAGCGUUAUCCGGAUUUAUUGGGUUUAAAGGGUGCGUAGGCGGCCUAUUAAGUCAGGGGUGAAAUACGGUGGCUCAACCAUCGCAGUGCCUUUGAUACUGAUGGGCUUGAAUCCAUUUGAAGUGGGCGGAAUAAGACAAGUAGCGGUGAAAUGCAUAGAUAUGUCUUAGAACUCCGAUUGCGAAGGCAGCUCACUAAGCUGGUAUUGACGCUGAUGCACGAAAGCGUGGGGAUCGAACAGGAUUAGAUACCCUGGUAGUCCACGCCCUAAACGAUGAUAACUCGAUGUUGGCGAUAGACAGCCAGCGUCCAAGCGAAAGCGUUAAGUUAUCCACCUGGGGAGUACCGCCCGAAGGGUGAAACUCAAAGGAAUUG